rnacentral:rRNA from 1 species
AGUGAACGCUGGCGGUAGACCUAACACAUGCAAGUCGAACGGCAGCACAGUAAGAGCUUGCUCUUACGGGUGGCGAGUGGCGGACGGGUGAGGAAUACAUCGGAAUCUACUUUUUCGUGGGGGAUAACGUAGGGAAACUUACGCUAAUACCGCAUACGACCUACGGGUGAAAGCAGGGGAUCUUCGGACCUUGCGCGAUUGAAUGAGCCGAUGUCGGAUUAGCUAGUUGGCGGGGUAAAGGCCCACCAAGGCGACGAUCCGUAGCAGGUCUGAGAGGAUGAUCAGCCACACUGGAACUGAGACACGGUCCAGACUCCUACGGGAGGCAGCAGUGGGGAAUAUUGGACAAUGGGCGCAAGCCUGAUCCAGCCAUACCGCGUGGGUGAAGAAGGCCUUCGGGUUGUAAAGCCCUUUUGUUGGGAAAGAAAAGCAGCAGGUUAAUACCCCGCUGUUCUGACGGUACCCAAAGAAUAAGCACCGGCUAACUUCGUG